AUCUACGGCGAUAAUUUUUUGGAAAUCCACCAGGUGGCGACCGCGCACAGAUGGAGGAUGAACAGAAUCUUCAAUUCCUCUACGUCACUUCCGUUCCCUGUCCUUUGAAGCCUCGAGGACCAAACCGUCUCGGAGAAACACAUGGCUAAACUGAGUUUCAAGCGGGGAGCAGAUCCAGGAAUGCCUGAGCCGACUGUCCUGAGUUUGCUUUGGGGCUGAGAUCAUCUCCAUGCAGCCAAUCGCUGCAGCUCUUCAAGAUCAUGUGUCGUCCAGGAAGUAGACACCAUCUCUGUGCAUGAGAAGAAGGUCGUGCUGCAAAAACCAUGAACUGACAGUGAAAAGGCUCAAAUCUCAUGAACAAAAUACUUUUUCUCUCUUUGUUAAUAUGUGACGACUUUAAUGUCUUUGUUUUUAUUUAUAAUUGAAACAUCCGACAGUAAAACCUUUAAAGAAUGAA